GGGGCCCCGCACAAGCAGCGGAGCAUGCGGCUUAAUUCGACGCAACGCGAAGAACCUUACCAAGGCUUGACAUAUAGGGAAAAGCAGCAGAGAUGUUGUGUCCGCAAGGGCUCUAUACAGGUGGUGCAUGGUUGUCGUCAGCUCGUGUCGUGAGAUGUUGGGUUAAGUCCCGCAACGAGCGCAACCCUCGUUCUGUGUUGCCAGCAUUUAGUUGGGGACUCACAGGAGACUGCCGGGGUUAACUCGGAGGAAGGUGGGGAUGACGUCAAAUCAUCAUGCCCCUUAUGUCUUGGGCUGCACGCAUGCUACAAUGGCCGAUACAAAGGGCUGCAAUACCGCAAGGUGGAGCGAAUCCCAAAAAGUCGGUCUCAGUUCGGAUUGGGGUCUGCAACUCGACCCCAUGAAGUCGGAGUUGCUAGUAAUCGUAGAUCAGCAACGCUACGGUGAAUACGUUCCCGGGGCUUGUACACACCGCCC
rnacentral:rRNA from 1 species